rnacentral:rRNA from 1 species
AACGAACGCUGGCGGCAUGCCUAACACAUGCAAGUCGAACGAGACCUUCGGGUCUAGUGGCGCACGGGUGCGUAACGCGUGGGAACCUGCCCUUAGGUUCGGAAUAACUCCCCGAAAGGGGUGCUAAUACCGGAUAAUGUCUUCGGACCAAAGAUCUAUGGCCUUUGGAUGGGCCCGCGUUGGAUUAGCUAGUUGGUAGGGUAAAAGCCUACCAAGGCGACGAUCCAUAGCUGGUCUGAGAGGAUGAUUAGCGACACUGGGACUGAGACACGGCCCAGACUCCUACGGGAGGCAGAAGUGGGGAAUAUUGGACAAUGGGCGAAAGACUGAUCCAGCAAUGCCGCGUGAGAGAUGAAUGCAUGAGGGUUGUAAGGCGCUUUUAACCGGGAUGAUAAUGACAGUACCGGGAGAAUAAGCUACGGCUAACUCCGUG